rnacentral:rRNA from 1 species
GAUGAACGCUAGCUACAGGCUUAACACAUGCAAGUCGAGGGGUAACGAGAGGGAAGCUUGCUUUCCUUGUCGACGACCGGCGCACGGGUGAGUAACGCGUAUCCAACCUGCCCCCACUAGGGAAUAACCUUGCGAAAGUGAGACUAAUACCCCUAAAAUUUCUUAGGUGGCCACCGACGAGGAAUAAAGGAUUUACGGUUGUGGGUGGGGAAGGGUAUGAUUAGCUUGUUGGGGGGGGAACGGGCCCCCAAGGCAACGAGCAGUAGGGGUUCUGAGAGGCAGGUCCCCCACAUUGGAACUGAGACACUGUCCAAACUCCUACGGGAGGCAGCAGUGAGGAAUAUUGGUCAAUGGGCGGAAGCCUGAACCAGCCAAGUAGCGUGCAGGAUGACGGCCCUAUGGGUUGUAAACUGCUUUUAUACAGGAAUAAAGUUAGCCACGUGUGGUUAUUUGUAGGUACUGUAUGAAUAAGGACCGGCUAAUUCCGUGCCAGCAGCCGCGGUAA